CCUUCGAUAGCUCAGUUGGUAGAGCGGUGGACUGUAGUAGUUGUGAUGGUUAUCCAUAGGUCGCUGGUUCGAAUCCGGCUCGAAGUA
rfam:Ciona savignyi cont_27791, whole genome shotgun sequence.